AGUGAACGCUGGCGGUAGGCCUAACACAUGCAAGUCGAACGGCAGCACAGUAAGAGCUUGCUCUUACGGGUGGCGAGUGGCGGACGGGUGAGGAAUACAUCGGAAUCUACUUUUUCGUGGGGGAUAACGUAGGGAAACUUACGCUAAUACCGCAUACGACCUACGGGUGAAAGCAGGGGAUCUUCGGACCUUGCGCGAUUGAAUGAGCCGAUGUCGGAUUAGCUAGUUGGCGGGGUAAAGGCCCACCAAGGCGACGAUCCGUAGCUGGUCUGAGAGGAUGAUCAGCCACACUGGAACUGAGACACGGUCCAGACUCCUACGGGAGGCAGCAGUGGGGAAUAUUGGACAAUGGGCGCAAGCCUGAUCCGGCCAUACCGCGUGGGUGAAGAAGGCCUUCGGGUUGUAAAGCCCUUUUGUUGGGAAAGAAAAGCAGCAGGUUAAUACCCCGCUGUUCUGACGGUACCCAAAGAAUAAGCACCGGCUAACUGCGU
rnacentral:rRNA from 1 species